rnacentral:rRNA from 1 species
GACGAACGGUGCGAACGUUAUUCGGAAUCACUGGGCUUAAAGGGUGCGUAGGCGGGCCCGUAAGUCAGGGGUGAAAUCCCACGGCCCAACCGUGGAAGUGCCUCUGAUACUGCGGGCCUGGAGGGGGAUAGGGGCGUGCGGAACUUCCGGUGGAGCGGUGAAAUGCGUAGAUAUCGUAAGGAACACCGGUGGCGAAAGCGGCGCGCUGGAGCCCUACUGACGCUGAGGCACGAAAGCCAGGGGAGCAAACGGG